GAGAACUGUAAGACAGGUGAAAAGAUAAUGUAUUCGUCUGCCAACUGAAGAACUUGAAAACAACAGAACAACUGGUGCUUUAGAUCUGUUAUGAGGAAAAUGGAAAUUCUGAUCCUGGAAGGCAGCUGGACCCUGCUCCUUGUGUUACGAAGGCAUCUUCUGCAAAUCUUCUGCAAAGAGUCUGCAUUGCUUGAUUUAUACAGUCAUUUGGAGGGCCUCCACACUUCUUUCUGUCCUCCCAGGAUGAGGUGUGGACAAUCCAUUCUCCCAGUGGGAAACUGA
rnacentral:lncRNA from 1 species